rnacentral:misc_RNA from 1 species
AAGUCGUAACAAGGUUUCCGUAGGUGAACCUGCGGAAGGAUCAUUAACACGUAUCCAAACGUUAAACCCCCCCCCGUGAACCUUCAUCGUGCUCUAGUGGGCCACUGAUAAACACAGCAAUUCCUGGUAAAUCAUUGUCUGAACAAGCCUUUGAGUCAGGAACCUCUGUGCAGUGCGAGCUACACCCACUAUAGAAGCGCUAGUUCCAUUGCAACUGACUGUGCAAGGAUAACGCUUAACAAUUUUGCAGCCGCAACACGCGGGCAGAGCUUUGCCAAAGGGUCCCCAUGCCCCUUCCUUCUGCCGAUUUCACAUACAAAGCUCCAUUUUCAAUUAUGGAUGGGGUAAAACCGAACAACUGUUAACAAUAGAUAUCUUGGGUCUG